rnacentral:rRNA from 1 species
UGGGGAAUCUUGCACAAUGGGGGAAACCCUGAUGCAGCGACGCCGCGUGAGCGAUGAAGGUUUUCGAAUCGUAAAGCUCUGUCCUAUGGGAAGAUAAUGACGGUACCAUGGGAGGAAGCCCCGGCUAACUACGUGCCAGCAGCCGCGGUAAUACGUAGGGGGCGAGCGUUGUCCGGAAUUACUGGGCGUAAAGGGUUCGCAGGCGGCAUGGCAAGUCCGAUGUAAAAGGCGAAGGCUCAACCUUCGUAAGCAUCGGAAACUGUCAAGCUUGAGUGAAGGAGAGGCAAGUAGAAUUCCUAGUGUAGCGGUGGAAUGCGUAGAUAUUAGGAGGAAUACCGGUGGCGAAGGCGACUUGCUGGACUUCAACUGACGCUGAGGAACGAAAGCGUGGGUAGCAAACAGG